GAACGCUAGCUACAGGCUUAACACAUGCAAGGUCGAGGGGCAGCAUGAACAUAGCUUGCUAUGUUUGAUGGCGACCGGCGCAAGGGUGCGUAACGCGUGAGCAACUUGCCCUUAUCAGGGGAAUAACCGUUGGAAACGACGACUAAUACCCCAUAGUAUUGAGUUCAGGCAUCUUUACUCAAUUAAAGAAUUUCGGAAACGGAUAGGCUCGCGUGACAUUAGCUAGAUGGCGGGGUAACGGCCCACCAUGGCGACGAUGUCUAGGGGUUCUGAGAGGAAGGUCCCCCACACUGGAACUGAGACACGGUCCAGACUCCUACGGGAGGCAGCAGUGAGGAAUAUUGGUCAAUGGCCGGGAGGCUGAACCAGCCAUGCCGCGUGAAGGUCACGGCCCUAUGGGUCUUAAACUUCUUUUGUAAGGGAGCAAUAAGGUUCACGUGUGGACUGAUGAGAGUACCUUACGAAUAAGCAUCGGCUAACUCCGUG
rnacentral:rRNA from 1 species